AUUGAACGCUGUCGGCAGGCCUAACACAUGCAAGUCGAGCGUCUUUUGUGAGCUUGCUCCUGGUUUCAGCGGCGUACGGGUGCGUCAUGCCUAGGAAUCUGCCUCGUAGUGUGGAAUAACGUCCCUACACGGGCCCUACUACCUCAUACCUCCUGACUUCGAUCGUCUGGGGCCUUCGGCCCUCACCCCUUCACAUGAGCCUUAGUCUCAUUAGCUAGUUGCUGGGGUAAAGGCCUAACAAGGCGUCGAUCCGUAACGGGUCUGAGAGGAGGAUCAGGCACACGGGAAGUGGGACAACGUCCAGACUCCUGCGGGAGGCAGCAGUCGGGAAUAUGGGACAAUGGGCGAAGGCCUGAACCAGCCAUGCCGCAAGUGGGAAGAAGGUCUUCGGAUGGUAAAGCACAUUAAGUUGGGAGGAAGCGCAGUAAGUUAAUACCUUCCUGUUUUGACGAUACCAAGAGAAUAAGCACCGGCUAACUUCGUG
rnacentral:rRNA from 1 species